GACGAACCGUGCGAACGUUGUUCGGAAUCACUGGGCAUAAAGGGCGCGUAGGCGGCUUUUCAAGUCAGGGGUGAAAUCCGGCAGCUCAACUGUCGAAGUGCCCUUGAUACUGAUGAGCUCGAGGGAGGUAGGGGUCUGUGGAACUUCCGGUGGAGCGGUGAAAUGCAUUGAGAUCGGAAAGAACACCAACGGCGAAAGCACUCUGCUGGCCGACACUGACACUGAGAGACGAAAGCUAGGGGAGGCAAAUGGGAUUAGGAAACCCUGGAU
rnacentral:rRNA from 1 species